AAGGGGUUAGAAGAGCUAUAAAUAGAAGAAAGUCUGGUUUAGUUUAUAGAGGUGGAAUUUGUAUAAAUUAGCUUGGUUUUUUAUUUUCUUUAUUUUGAUGCCUCGAAAAUUUAGUAUAAGACCGGGAUUAGAUACCCCGUUAUUUAUUUUUUAAACUUUAAUUGUGUGAUUUACUUGGGGAUUACGAGCAUGUUUACUGGCAAUGAUUGGUUAACAUAUAGCUUAAAACUCAAAAAACUUGGCGGUGCCUUAAUUCCUUCCAGGGGAACCUGUCCUGUAAUCGAUGGUCCACGUUUUAACUUACCUCUUUUUGUAUUGUGGAUUUAAUGUAUUAUCUGCUAACAGUUUGUAUACCGUCGUCGUCAGAUUAUCUUUGAGAGUAGGAGAAGUUGUCGGUAGAAGAUGUCAUUUUGUUGUUUAUUAGUAUUGCCUAUGAAAAUUAGGUGCUGCAGAAUUUAUUGCUGCGUAGUAGAUAAUAAUUGUGUUCUUUUGAUGUCAGAUCAAGGUGCAGCUUAUGAAGAGGUAGAGAUGGGUUACAAUAAAUAUUUAAUAUACGAAUUUUGUUCUGUAAUGUUCAAUUGAAGGUGGACUUGGGAGUAAUGUGGUUAAGAUAGUGAUUUUGAUAGUAGCGAGUCUGCGUGAAUAUGGUACUAAGGUGUGU
rnacentral:rRNA from 1 species